AAACGUAGGGGGCAAGCGUUGUCCGGAAUUACUGGGUGUAAAGGGUGCGCAGGCGGCCAUUUAAGUCAGCGGUUAAAUCGUGGGGCUCAACCCCAUUCUGCCGUUGAUACUGGGUGGCUUGAUUGCGGUCGAGGUUGGCGGAAUUCGUUGUGUAGCGGGGAAAUGCAUAGAUAUGACGAAGAACACCGAUUGCGUAGGCAGCUGACCAGACCGCAAAUGACGCUCAUGCACGAAAGUGCGGGGAUCGAACAGGAUUAGAUACCCUGGUAGUCCGCACAGUAAACGAUGAAUACUUGUUUUCGGCGAUAUAAUGUCGGAGGCAAAGCGAAAGCGAUAAGUAUUCCACCUGGGGAGUACGCCGGCAACGGUGAAACUCAAAGGAAUUGACGGGG
rnacentral:rRNA from 1 species